ensembl:lncRNA
CCGCACAGAAGGAAAGCAGACGCUGGAACAAGACGCUGGAACAAGACGCUUUUUGGACACAGACCAUUACAGGACGCCCUCUCUAAAACAUCUACGGUGGCCCACGUGGACACACUGGAGGGAGACAGUGAAGGACACAUCCGCUUCAAGACCCCCGAGGAAGCCCAGGCCGUCGUCAACGACCGCUCGGCCGCCGCCAAGGAACACGGCUGGACGCUGGAUCUGCUCUCCGGUGAUCAUGAGUAAAGGUAUUGGCAGAAGAUUUUGGUGGACCGCCAAGUGAAGUUGAAGGAAACGAGGAACAGAAAAGGUGGGAGA